rnacentral:rRNA from 1 species
AUAAUGGCGGGAGGAGGGAAGGGACGUAACUAGUUGCGAACUCCCACAACCCAUCGCGAAUCUUACCCGUACGGUUGCCUCGGCGCUGGCGGUCCGGAAAGGCCCUCGGGCCCUCCCGGAUCCUCGGGUCUCCCGCUCGCGGGAGGCUGCCCGCCGGAGUGCCGAAACUAAACUCUUGAUAUUUUAUGUCUCUCUGAGUAAACUUUUAAAUAAGUCAAAACUUUCAACAACGGAUCUCUUGGUUCUGGCAUCGAUGAAGAACGCAGCGAAAUGCGAUAAGUAAUGUGAAUUGCAGAAUUCAGUGAAUCAUCGAAUCUUUGAACGCACAUUGCGCUCGCCAGUAUUCUGGCGAGCAUGCCUGUUCGAGCGUCAUUUCAACCAUCAAGCUCUGCUUGCGUUGGGGAUCCGCGGCUGUCCGCGGUCCCUCAAAAUCAGUGGCGGGCUCGCUAGUCACACCGAGCGUAGUAACUCUACAUCGCUAUGGUCGUGCGGCGGGUUCUUGCCGUAAAACCCCCCAUUUCUAAGGUUGACCUCGGAUCAGGUAGGAAUACCCGCUGAACUUAAGCAUAUCAAUAGGCGGGAGGAA